CUGAGCUUGCCUCCUCACCCUCGAGGAGGGUUCACCUCUGCACCUGCCAGUGACUCGGGAACUGGAGAGGCAGGGCAGGGUUCAUGGUGUGCUGCAGCAGAUGUGGGUCUUUCUUCUUUUUUAUGUUUCCCUGGUGAUGGGAGGCACUGCAGGACAAAGCAUUGAGCAGCCCACUGAGUUGAUGGCCAUGGAAGGAGCUAUCGCCCAGGUCAACUGCACGUACCAGAUAUCUGGGUUCAACGGGCUGUCCUGGUACCAGCAACAUGACGGCAAAGCACCCAUAUUUCUGUCUUACAAUGUUCUGGAUGGUUUGGAGAGGAGAGGUCCUUUUUCUUCAUUCCUCAGUCGCUCUGAUGGGUACAGUUACCUUCUUCUACAGGAGCUCCACAUAAAAGACUCUGCCUCCUACUUCUGUGCUGUGAGAGACACGGUGACUGUGAGGCCUCUUCAGCUGCACCAAAAUUCAAAAGGAAACUGCAGCAGUGAGAAAUCCUAUUUCCUGAGCGUAUGUCUGCUGUCAGUUAAGUCUGGGGACUUCGGAAGCAGACUGCCUGGAUUUUAG